ensembl:snoRNA small nucleolar RNA SNORA40
AGCACUGAGUAAGCUUUUUUAAUUGGUGGACAAGGACUUACAGACAAGUGUAAAAGUAAGGUCUCUUUACAAUCCAGAACUCAUUGCUUAAUAUGAGUCUUGAUUACAUAUGAAGGAAUAUG